AAUAUACUCAUUGAAAGCUUUGCGGUUUUUCUUUAAAGUCUACUUAACACCGCUUGUAUAUUGGAAAAAUAUUCUCUACUUAAAUAUAUUUUUUAUUCUUCAAUGCACGUGACCUGCUUAUGUAUCAAAUAUUGAAUAAUCGUGAAAAUAAAAGAUUGAAGAGACGUUUUGAAGCAGACGGAUGAACUCUAGAAAUCCAUCAUUGUGUUAUAUAAUGGGGUAUACCUCCAAAUUAACGUGGUACUAUGACAAUGAGAAGAAUGAACGAUUUCGUUGCAAAAUUAUUGGUGAAGCAUGUUUUUCUCUCGCCAGUCAGAUUAAUAAGUCCAUAAGAAGUCGAAGCUUAUGUGUCUUCUUGGGUUGAUAGUUUCGUGUUUAUUUUGAAGGGCUUCACUUUGUUAACGCCGUUCGGCAGAAGGCGAAUUCUACAGAGGGAUGAUCUGGUAUUUGGAACUUGAAUGCUUGUGUUUGAAAAUAUAAUAUUUGUGUUUCAGCAGGAAACCGUCCCUUUGGUUCUGGGAAACUGUGUUAACCAGCAGCUGCAUAACCAACCAGAUUAACCAAAACUCAAUGUCUUAAAGAGAAGUGGGAUAUACCUUUUGGUUGAUAAUUCUGACAACUAACUAACGUUUUCUUUACCAAAGUGAAAUAAAUUAUGUAUAACAAAAAAUUUUUCAUAUAACCAAAAUUUUCUACAACACAAAAUAUCACUACUAACAUUUUGGCCACGGAGAGAUAAGACAUAAACGCAGCAUUACAUUUAUUAGAUUUAACAACAAUGUUAAAUUUUUCUAAGUUUUCCAUACAAUGAGGAUAAAAUCGGCAGUUCUCUAAUCCGGGAAUACGAAAAUAGUACAAAUGACAAAUAAUCAAUAGCUAUUGCGAUCGCUUUGUUGCUCAGCGGCUCCAUAGGAGGUCACCAAGUGUGGCUUUGCGUUUUCAAUAUAGUGAUAAUAUGUACAACUACAAAGAUACGACAUGUACUACCUCCACCGCAGGCAAGUAAUUGACAUGUACUCUUACCUCUGUUUGUAAGGCAAUAACGGUAUAUCUACAGUAGUGAUAUAAAAUAACUCUGCCUUCGCAUCCUUCUGUAUCAAUUGUCACUCGCUAAAUUUUGACUCGCUACAUCAGCCUUUUGCAGCGCUAAAAAAUCGUAAGUUCGCUGGCCCAGUGUUUCUUGAAAUUAAUGUACUGGAAAUUGUCCAUUCAGCGCUUCGCAAUUGAAUUCAUUUGCAGUAAACACUUCUUAGCUAUUUGCUGUCUUAACACGUACAAUGUUCUGUCCACCACCGAAAACUUUAUUUUCACUUUUGUACUUAUUUCUUAUCAAUGAGCUCAUUGUAGUAUGAGGAAGUCCUUCUGUUUUCACAACCUAUCAUUGCUUUACUUUUUGAACUUUGUAAAAUUUGUGACAAAAGGUAUGCACACAGUAACAAUUCUUCCUUAACUCGUAAAGUGAAUUGACACAAAAUAAGGUCGAUAACUUUUCUCUACGCUUACAAAUUUAUUUCUCAAUUUUAAAUUUCCCAAUUUAUCAUCAGAACUAACGCAAUCUUUCAUUUUUGAGAACAAGGCGAAACUAGUACGUUUGGAGUAAGGGUUAGUCAUGCAGGAACAAGCGAUUCUUUCGAGACACCAUAAGGGAAUGCCCUUGAUAGCACCUACCCUUGAAUACAUUGCUUUAAGGAUUCCAAAUUGCGGUUCAGCAUUUAAAUACUUGACGAAGGUACUUUUAGGCAAUUUUUCUUCCGUUAUUUUCUAAUAGGUUAUCGUUGAUUCCCUCCCUGAGAAGAAAGCUCACUGAAUGCCCACAAACAUACAAAAAAUGCAAAACCAUGGGGUGCGCCAAUGAGUCAAAAUAGCAAAAGAAUUUUGCUGUCAAACAUUUGCAAUUUAUGCUUGCCUACACGAAACCUCAAGCACCCCUAGCAAGGAAUUGUGGAAAUUAAAUCAGUGAAUGAAUGCAAAAUGCUGAAUAAUGGAAUGCCGUUGUAGCAUUCCUGAAAUUCCAAUGCAAUGAUAGAGUAUGAAUGGCAGUUUCCUAGAAUUUGUUAUUAUCAAUAUGUCUAAUUUUGGUUUAACCUUUUCUCCGAACUCAAGUAUUUGUAACUUCCCUUAAAUUUGGUAUCACAUGAACAAGAUGAGAGAAAACGAUUGUAGACAAAGGUAAUAACAAUGCCGUGACAAAUCAAAAAAUGUAAUAAUAUGCGAAAGAAAGAGCGAGUAAGGGAAUGCUAGUCCCGGCUGAAACUGAACAAUGAAAAUCUUUCAAACUUAAAUAAUGUGUUUAUUGUAUAUUCUCUCUUUUCAGUGAACUAUUACUGUAUUAAGUUGUCGAGGUUAGGAAUCCAAGCCAACUGAUUCAGAGUGAUCCACACAUGCCCAUAGCUUUUUGAUCUAGAUUAAUCCAAGAAGCCGAAAUCAUCACUAUUCAUUUAUGCAAAGUCAACGGAUAGACUAUUUUCAAACUUUGUUCGUAAGUUAUUCCCACAGCUUCAAAGAGGUGGUAUCUUGGUUAAGAACUUAAGCCCGCCUAUAACGGUGCAAAAUAGAUUUGUAUGUAACAAGCUAUAAAUUGACAAAAGAAAUGUUCAUGUACACUUGACUUCACGAAGUGAAUCUCAGCAAAGGGAUGAACAAACAAAUAUUAUGAACACAUAUGCACAUGAUUUAUACUGUUGCGGAAGUUGUCAACAUUCACGCAUUUACCCAAUAAACAGAAAUCAAUAGACCUUACGCAUUCGAGACAAAAUAGGCAAAAUGAAUUUCUCAAAUAGUAUAUUAUACAUAUAUAUGUUACAUAUAUUUGGGGUUGAAGUUCAAAUAGAAAGUAAGUGGCUCUGAGGGUAAAUGGGCGCUUAGCCUAAUUGAUAAGACGUGUAGGGGCCUGGUCAUCCUGGUCAAAACAGAAUCGUCGAAAGCUUGCAAAACUGAGGAGUUUGCAAAGAGUUCACAAUUUCAUGAGACAGGGAGUUUAUCGCGCUGGUUAACCACCAGCGAAGUCCCUCCGGCCCAGUGUAGUUCACAAGAGGUCCAUUGAACAGCUUGCUCAUAAUGCUCAUAUUUCAUUAAUUUUCAUUUUGUGAAAGUUUCUUUGUUCUAACGGGUCACUGUGCAAUCGGCAUCUCUAUGAAGUGGUUAAACAUUUUACCGCACACCAAGGGUCAUAAUAUCUUGUUAAAAGGCAAAUUAGAAGCUUCUGAACUGUACUAAAUCCGUAAGAUUAAGAUUGAAAUAUACUGGAUCUCAUGCCUUUAGUUAUUCAGGGGCAUCAGCUGGAAUCGAGAUUAGUCACCUCAAGAAUUUGUGAAAGAUCCGAGGCUGUUGUGGAUAUUCGAGGCUUUUGGUUCAUCAACAACUGUCCAAAUGUUAUCUCCAUGACGUCUGACUUUUUAGCCUCAAAUCCUAACCUAAUGCAGCAGCG